UAGGGAAUAUUGCAAAAUGGGCGAAAGCCCGAUGCAGCAACGCCGCGUGGGCGAUGAAGGCCUUCGGGUCGUAAAGCCCUUUUUGAGGGGAUGAGGAAGGACAGUACCCUCAGAAUAAGCCUCGGCUAACUACGUGCCAGCAGCCGCGGUAAAACGUAGGAGGCGAGCGUUAUCCGGAUUUACUGGGCGUAAAGCGCGUGCAGGCGGAUUGGAGAGUUGGAUGUGAAAGCUCCCGGCUUAACUGGGAGAGGUCGUUCAAUACUUCCAGUCUUGAGUGCAGUAGAGGGAAGUGUAAUUCCGGGUGUAGUGGUGAAAUGCGUAGAUAUCCGGAGGAACACCAGUGGCGAAAGCGGCUUCCUGGACUGUAACUGACGCUCAGACGCGAAAGCUAGGGUAGCAAACG
rnacentral:rRNA from 1 species